CUAGUUUUAUUGAAGGAGGUUCUAGAACCAAAAAUACAUAAGAACUUUUCAAAUGUGCAUUAUAAUUCCUGAAUUUUUUGGGUGAUCAGCAUUGUGGUUAGCCUUCUCUCUCUCCAGGUCUUUUCUCUCUUUUUUGCAGCCUGGUUUGGCUCUUACUGUAUGCUGCCUGUAUACGUAGGGUGCACCCCCUGUUUUUGGUGUUUUCUUAAUUCAUUCUGCCUUUGUCUAUAAAAAAAAAUAAUAAUAAUUCCUGAUUUGUUCAAAGAAUAGCCAACCACACCAGACAUUUGCUUUGUAAAGUGGUGUUUUUAAAGUUUUGUACAGUUUCAUGCACCUCUUCUAGCUGAGUGGUCAGCUAGACAGCAACUGCAAUUGUGGAGUGAGAGUUACUAGUUAACCCGUUCCAUCACAGUUGCUGACUCUCCCUCCACAAUGAUUAGUGAGGACUGAAUGAAGGCCUCUGUAAUCUUCCAGUGGAUUGCCUGGAAAAAUUUUCAAAGCAAGGGUUUCCUUCUUUAGCUGAUGUAGAUAAGUUGUCCUGUGUGAUCCUUACAAAUAUCUCC
rnacentral:lncRNA from 1 species